rnacentral:lncRNA from 1 species
CUCCCGAGAAUGAAGUUUACUGCCCGACGCGUAGCGGAGGGCAGUAAUCAUUCAAGGGAGGAAAAGGCACUUUACUCCCAUGUUAUACAUAUGGUUUUUCCACCUUCCUCAAAUAACAAGUCAUUUUUUCAUUUUUACUUAAUUUAUUUAUGUAACUAACCAACAAAAAUUAUUAGAACUAAAACUAACAAGUACGUACAAUAUAACUGUCAACUGUCAAAUAUAAGUCAAAAUAAUAAUGUAAACAUAAAUCAAAAUAAAAAUUUACGGUUUUUUACCAUUCUGCAAAAUACAGAGUGUUUUAUAAAUAAACGUUAAAAUGUAUAGAAACUUACGUAAUAGAAAAUAGAUAUUGUACAGGGCGUCAAUAAGUUACAUUUCAUGAAUGAAAUACCAUGACGUCACUUUUACUUUUCCUCCCUAGGGAGGAAAAAUAUUUUCCUCCCUAGGGAGGAAAAGUACAACUUUGCUCCCUACAAUCAGGUCCGGGAAAGUAUACUUUCGGUAGAGAUUUUUCAAGAAUGAAGAAUUAGUGGCGCACACAAUAUUCCUGCUACAAGAGCUGAUAUGAAUAUUACGAGGCGCAAAAAUGUAUUUUCAUUUUGAUAAAAAAUAAAAUUAUAGACUUAUUUUGAAAUAUUUUCCAUAGGUAGUAUUUGCUAAAUUUUAAGUAAAACGCGCCACAAACUUCAUGAAAGGUACUGUAUUGUGAUACUCCCUGGCUAUGUUUUAAAUACUUACUAAUAUUUUUUCAUGUCUACCUACAUAUUUUUUAUGCCAGAUAUAAAUAAUUCUGUAGUAUUGCUAUGAUGUUUAAAUUCAGAUCAUUCUGAUUAUUCACUGAAGCCAUUAUUAAUGAGUCCACAAAUACAUUCCUUUUUGUAUAUGGAAGAAAACAAAACAAUUGAAUCUCACUCACUUACAGUCGGAAAAAUGAAAGAAUACACAUGAACGAACAUAUAAAACACGCUGUAUUUUCCAGUCACCGUGUCACAAAGAAAAUUGUCCAGUGCAAGUACAUGUAACAAUAAUUAUUACAUGUACUUGCGCAGGCCAAUGUUUUGUGUGACACGGUGACAGGCGUGUUUUAUAUGUUCGUUCAUGGGUACUUUCAUUUUUCCUACUGUACAUUAGCUAAAACAGGAAAGGUUUUCUAUUUUAGUCAAUGUAAGUGUACACAGUUAAAUUGAUUCAAUUAUUGUUCUAUCCUACAGAAAUAUACUAUAAUAUAGAGAUUGAGAGAGAUUUACCAAAGUUAACACAUUGACGAACAGUGCCUCAAAUGGAUAAGUAAGUGUUGUGACACUCUAUUGAAUUUUGCGAAGUAGAAUAGGAAAAUUGCUAAAUUUCUUAGCGCUUAUAGUUUAUGGAAACAAUUUUGACGUUUUUUUGUAAACAUGUGGACGAUGACCAUGAUUGUCAUGUCAUAUUUCAUAAUAAGCAUCUGUAGAUAUAUUGUGACAAAAAUCUAGUGAUUUUUUGUCAUAACUUGUUAUUUAAAAAAUGUCUAUAGACCUUGUGUCACAUUUCAUCAAUGGAAAUUAGACGUCUAUAGACAUUCUGUCCAUCAAUGUGUUAAAGAUGUUUGCUAACCUUAUAGAAUAUUUUUGUGUUAUGGGGAAAUAAAAGAAUCAUUAAUAUACA